ACUCGAGUGGCGAACGGGUGAGUAACACGUGGGUGAUCUGCCCUGCACUUCGGGAUAAGCCUGGGAAACUGGGUCUAAUACCGGAUAGGAGCCAUUUUUAGUGUGAUGGUUGGAAAGUUUUUCGGUGUAGGAUGAGCCCGCGGCCUAUCAGCUUGUUGGUGGGGUAAUGGCCUACCAAGGCGGCGACGGGUAGCCGGCCUGAGAGGGUGGACGGCCACAUUGGACUGAGAUACGGCCCAG
rnacentral:rRNA from 1 species